CAAAGUUGAAAGAAAAGCUUGAAACUUUUCAAAUCAUGAAACGUGACAACUUUUAG
rnacentral:tRNA from 3 species